AGAGACAGCAGCAGCCACGGGAAUACGAAGGGGGCUAGCGUUGUUCGGAUUUACUGGGCGUAAAGCGCACGUAGGCGGAUCGAUCAGUCAGGGGUGAAAUCCCCGGGCUCAACCUGGGAAUGGCAAUGGAUACUGGCAAGCUAGAGUGUGUCAGAGGAUGGUGGAAUUCCCGGUGUAGCGGUGAAAUGCGUAGAGAUCGGGAGGAACAUCAGUGGCGAAGGCGGCCAUCUGGGACAACACUGACGCUGAGGCACGAAAGCGUGGGGAGCAAACAGGAUUAGAUACCCCAGUAGUCCCUGUCUCUUAUAC
rnacentral:rRNA from 1 species